UUUCCGUAGGUGAACCUGCGGAAGGAUCAUUCAUAAUAAGUGUUUUAUGGCACUUUUUUAAAUCCAUAUCCUCCUUGUGUGCAAUGUCAGGGUUGAUUUUUCUCUCGAGAGGAUCAACCCCAAACAUCAACUAUAUCUCAACUCUUUGUCUGAAAAAUAUUAUGAAUAAAACAAUUCAAAAUACAACUUUCAACAACGGAUCUCUUGGCUCUC
rnacentral:misc_RNA from 1 species